UCGAUUUCCUACGGGAGGCAGCAGCUAAGAAUCUUGCGCAAUGGGCGAAAGCCUGACGCAGCAAUUCCGCGUGGGGGACGAAGGCCCUAGGGUCGUAAACCCCUUUUGCGAGGGAAGAAGUUCUGACGGUACCUCGCGAAUAAGCCACGGCUAACUACGUGCCAGCAGCCGCGGUAAUACGUAGGUGGCGAGCGUUGUCCGGAUUUAUUGGGCGUAAAGAGCCCGCAGGCGGCUUGGAAAGUUUCGAGUGAAAUCUCCCGGCUCAACUGGGAGGGCGCCCGGAAAACUACCAGGCUUGAGGCAGGAGAGGGAUGUGGAAUUCCCGGUGUAGUGGUGAAAUGCUA
rnacentral:rRNA from 1 species